AACGCACCUUGCGCUCCUUGGUAUUCCGAGGAGCAUGCCUGUUUGAGUGUCAUUAAAUUCUCAAUCUUUACAACUUUGUGUUGUUCAGAUUGGAUGUGGGGGUUUCGUUGUGUGGAAUUCAAUUCCUCACUCCCCUUAAAUGCAUUAGCUGGAAUGCCUCUGCAUCUCUGACUAUCAGUGUGAUAAUUAUCUAUACUGUAGUUGUUGCAUGAGGGUAUCUGCUUCAUCAAUCGUCGCAAGACAAAUGACCAUCUUGACCUCAAAUCAGGUAGGACUACCCGCUGAACUUAA
rnacentral:misc_RNA from 1 species